AUGUUCUGCUACUGCACCGUAGCCAUAGUUGCAAUUCUGUAUAUGCUUUUUGACGUCAAUUACUUUCUGAGAAUAGCGUUCACUCUCAGUUGGGGAAGGCUUUUUCAAAAAAAGAAGAAAUUGUUCGAAGAGACAACUAUUCACGGCAUAUGCACGACCCAGGAUGUAGACCUCUUCUUCAGAAACAUGAAUAUCGCAAGGUACGUCAGAGAACUGGACUUCGCCCGGUUCCACUACUACGACAGGUCUGGAGUAUACGGUGCGAUCCAUGCCAAAGGCGGAAGCGCGGUUCAAAGUGCCGCAUCUGUACGUUACAGAAGAGCACUUCCAAUAUUUACCCCGUACAAGGUCACCACAAAGUUAAUUUACUGGGACGAUAAGAAUUUCUACCUAGAGCAGCAGUUGAUCAGUUUGCCCGACAAUUUCAUCCGCACGAUCGUUUUAAGCAAGCAAAGUGUAACCGGUCUUAAAAUCCCAGUAUCGGAAAUCAUCGCCAAAGUCGAAGAGGGAGCAAAGAGGCCGGAACUAUCGAAAGAUUUAAGACUGUGGCUGGAAUCGAUGGAGGAAUCCUCGCAAAAAUUGAAGAAACAGAAUUAACGGAUGUAAUAACAUCGUUGAUAAGUAUUUAUUCGGAAGGUGCGUCGAUCGUCGCAGUUUGAUCGUCAGAUGAGUCUACCGAUCUACGUACGCUACUUAUCGUGUGA